rnacentral:rRNA from 1 species
AUUGAACGCUGGCGGCAGGCCUAAUACACGCAAGUCGAGCGGGGUUUUCGGACCCAGCGGCGGACGGGUGAGUAAUGCGUAGGAAGCUGCCCGAUAGAGGGGGAUACCAGUUGGAAACGACUGUUAAUACCGCAUAAUGUCUACGGACCAAAGUGUGGGACCUUCGGGCCACAUGCUAUCGGAUGCGCCUACGUGGGAUUAGCUAGUUGGUGAGGUAAUGGCUCACCAAGGCGACGAUCUCUAGCUGGUUUGAGAGGAUGAUCAGCCACACUGGAACUGAGACACGGUCCAGACUCCUACGGGAGGCAGCAGUGGGGAAUAUUGGACAAUGGGCGCAAGCCUGAUCCAGCCAUGCCGCGUGUGUGAAGAAGGCCUUCGGGUUGUAAAGCACUUUCAGCGAGGAGGAAGGGGUGUGUGUUAAUAGUACACACCUUUGACGUUACUCGCAGAAGAAGCACCGGCUAACUCUGUGCCAGCCGCCGCCGUUAAUAC